UACGUAGGUGACAAGCGUUGUCCGGAUUUACUGGGCGUAAAGAGCGCGCAGGCGGUCGUUCAAGUCGAGUGUGAAAUCUCCCGGCCUAACUGGGAGGGGUCGCCCUAGACUGGGAAGCUUGAGGCUGGCAGAGGUAGGUGGAAUUCCUGGUGUAGUGGUGAAAUGCGUAGAGAUCAGGAGGAACACCGGUGGCGAAGGCGCCACUCUGGGCCACGACUGACGCUGAGGAGCGAAAGCAUGGGUAGCAAACAGG
rnacentral:rRNA from 1 species